CAUUUCCUUAUGCUCAAUAUCCUAUGGCUCCUAGGAUUUUAAAAAAAAUGUUUGUGCUUGUUUUUCAUUUUUUAAUAGAUCGUCAAGCAAGGAGUGACUACCCUGAGCAAUCUAGUGAGAUGUUCUUUAUACACUGUCUGUUGUUCUUCCUGGAAGCUGUGUUAAAACAACUUUUAGAAAGAAUAUUGCCAUGUACAUCACCUGACUGCUGACAGAGACCUGGAAAAAGACAUCCUGUGAACCUCUACUGAGACAAUCUACAAAAUUUGGUGCUGAAAUGAAGAAUGCUUGAAGCAUACUGUCUGAG
rnacentral:lncRNA from 1 species